rnacentral:lncRNA from 1 species
AAAAAUGUAGUUUAACAUUGGAUUUGAUGUGGAGAGUCUGGAAGUGAUCAACAGGCCUUCUCUGAUGCCAACUCUCUGUUCUGAAAAUAUCUUUUUCUGAAAUCUUAUUUCUGCCUCCAAUACACUGCGUCUCCAAUCCAUCCUAAUGUUGGCUGCUGCUGGAGAAAGGAUAAAUUCUCUGUUGUUUCAAGGCUCCUACACAAAUACAAAGCGCGAUGCUGUUGCUACUGGAAGAGAAGUGAAAAAAAACUGCUUAUGUUCAAGACCACCUGGACAAGACUUCUUAACUAUGAAAGGCAGUUUUGUUGCUGUGUAGGAAAAGACAAAAAUACUGAGAAUAGGCUCUCUCCACAUUCUCUGAGACUCAGAGUUAAAGAGACUAAUAGAAGUCUCAAUCCCCGAGACAACCUGAUAGAAGCAGAAGCAUACCAAUUCCCAGGAGUUAAUGCUGUUUACUUUAGUCUCCGUUGUUCUUUUGCAUACAAUACCUAAAUCUAAUUUUAAAAAUCACAAGAGACAUGAAUAAGCAUGAAAAAAAGAACUCAUCAUCAAGGGAGAAAGCAGUCAACAGAACCAGACUCAGAAAUGAAACAUAUUUUGAAACUAUUUGACUAGGACUUUUAAAUAAUUAUAAUGAAUAUGUUCAUUAAUCUAUGGAAAAUAAGAACGGUGUGGAACAGAUGAAGAAUUUUAGCAGUAAGAUAGAAACUAUAAAGGAAAUCCUGUGAAAUGACAGAUUAAGAAAACAUGAUAUGAAAGUUGAAAAAUUUUUUCACAUGCUUAUUUGCAGACUAAAGGCAUUACAGAAAGUUAACUGUGAAUUAGAAUAUAUUUUGAUUAAAGUUUUCCAAAAUAUAAUGUGUGUGUAACUGUGUGUGUGUAGAGAGAGAGAGAAUGAAAUAUAGUGAAAAAAUAAAAUAUCCAAGACCAUUAAUAAAUGAUCUAAUAUAUGUGUAAUUGGACGCCCAGCCUUAGAUGAGAGAAACAAAGAGAAUAGGGCUGUAGAAGCAUUUGAAAAGAUAAUGGGUGAGAACUUUACGAAAUUAAUGAAAGACUAAAUAAACUACAGCUCUAAUAAAUUCAGAGAACUCGAAACUGGAUAAAUAUAAAGAAUAACAUACAUAGGCAUAUCAUAGUCAACCUGCUGAAAACCAAAGAUGAGUAAAAAGUAGUAAAGGUUGGACAAGCUAGAAACACACCUUAUAUAAGGGAACAGAGGUAACAAUUAUAUCAGAUAUAUCAUUUAAAAGUAUGCAGUCCAAAGAAAAUGAGGUAAUAUAUAGUACUGAAAGAAAAACAGCCAAACCAAAAGUUUAAAAUAAACAUUAAAAGCAGUUAUUUAAGCAGAAAUAAUAUAACAGAUACAUUUAUAAAUACACAAAAAAAGAGGUAUAGCAAUGUAAGAAAAUGUAUAAACUAUAUU